UCGACUAAGAGCUUGGAUAAGUUGACUCAUAGAUUUUUGAUAGAAUAAUGAUUAAUUUUUUAAAUUAUUUUAAAUAGCCAUAUUUUAUUUGUAAUGACUAUUUUCGAGCUUCCAAUGGCUAAAGCAUUAAUGACAGAUAUUUUUGAGAUCAUAAAGGUGAAGAAAUCAUAUGAAAGACUAAGAAAUUAAAGCUAUAAAUUUAUUGAAGAAAAUAUUUAAGCAAUUUGAGUGGAACAAAAAGAAAGCGUGGA
rnacentral:lncRNA from 1 species